GUCAAUGGCCUAACGGCUGAACCGGCAACUUGGAGGAAUGGAUAAAUUGUAGUUUUGAAUAUCUACUUAAUGAGUCAUCGUAUAUAAUUCUGUAUACAUAUUGAUAAUGACAAUAUGUACAUAUUGUCUUGACCAAUUACGUGCCAGCAGUCGCGGUAAUACGUAAGAGACUAGUGUUAUUCAUCUUAAAUAGGUUUAAAGGGUACUUAGACGGCAGAAUUAGCCUUAAAAAGGUACAAUUUUGCUAGAGUUUUAUGCAAGGGGGUAGUACUCGGGAGUGGAGAGAUAAAAUUUUUUGAUACCUCGAGGACUGGUAAAGGCGAAGGCAACCUUUUAUGUAAAAACUGACGUCGAAGGACGAAGGCACAGGGCACGAACAGGAUUAGGUACCCCAGUAGUCUUUGCAGAGAAUUAUGAAUGUCAUAGGUUAGGUUAGAUAACGAAGAAUAUUCGGUUUAAUAGUGUGUAUAAUAUAGUGAUUAUAUAGUAUAUAUUUAACAUUAUAUUAUAUUAAUAUAAACUUUUAAAUUACUACUAGUAUUAUCUUUAUACUUAGUCUAUAAAUGAAAGUGUAAGCAUUUCACCUCAAGAGUAAUGUGGCAACGCAGGAACUGAAAUCACUAGACCGUUUCUGACACCAGCAGUGAAGUAUGUUAUUUAAUUCGAUAAUCCACGAAAAAUCUUACCACAAUUUGAAUAUUAAUAGUAAUAUAUCUUACGAUAUAAAUAAUAUAAAAUUAUAAGAAGGAGUAAUUUAUAUUAUUUUCUGUCUGUAUUAUUAAAUACAAGUGUUGCACGGCUGUCUUCAGUUAAUGUUGUGAAACUGUGGUUUGGUCCAUGGAAUUAACGAAAACCCUUGCUUUAUUUGUAAAUAAUCAAAUGCUAUAUUUAAUAUAUAGCUUAUGAUAAAGCAGUUCACCCUUUAUAUUGGGUAUGAUAAUAGGGAUC
rnacentral:rRNA from 1 species